GACGUAGGUGGCGAACGUUAUCCGGAAUUACUGGGCGUAAAGGGCGCGUAGGCGGCCUUCUAAGUCGAACGUGAAAUCCCUGGGCUCAACCCAGGAACUGCGUCCGAUACUGGAAGGCUUGAAUCCGGGAGAGGGAUGCGGAAUUCCAGGUGUAGCGGUGAAAUGCGUAGAUAUCUGGAGGAACACCGGUGGCGAAGGCGGCAUCCUGGACCAUUACUGACGCUGAGGCGCGAAAGCUAGGGGAGCAAACGGG
rnacentral:rRNA from 1 species